rnacentral:rRNA from 1 species
CAUAAGCGGGGAAAAGAUCAACAGGAUUGCCUCAGUAACGGCGAGUGAAGCGGCAACAGCUCAAAUUUGAAAGCUGGCCCCCCCGGGGGUCCGCGUUGUAAUUUGUAGAGGAUGAUUCGGCGAGGGCUCCCGCCUAAGUCCCCUGGAACGGGGCGUCAUAGAGGGUGAGAAUCCCGUAUGCGGUGGGCUGCCUUAGCCAUGUGAAUCUCCUUCGACGAGUCGAGUUGUUUGGGAAUGCAGCUCUAAAUGGGAGGUAAAUUUCUUCUAAAGCUAAAUACCGGCCAGAGACCGAUAGCGCACAAGUAGAGUGAUCGAAAGAUGAAAAGCACUUUGGAAAGAGAGUUAAAAAGUACGUGAAAUUGUUGAAAGGGAAGCGCUUGCAGCCAGACUUGUCCGCAGUUGCUCAGCCGGUCUCCUGACCGGCGCACUCUUCUGCGGCCAGGCCAGCAUCAGUUCGGGCGGUCGGAUAAAGGCCCCGGGAACGUAGCUCCUCUCGGGGAGUGUUAUAGCCCGGGGUGGAAUGCGGCCAGCCUGGACUGAGGAUCUCGCUUCGGCUAGGAUGCUGGCGUAAUGGCUGUAAGCGGCCCGUCUUGAAACACGGACCAAGGAGUCUAACAUCUAUGCGAGUGUUUGGGUGUCAAACCCAUGCGCGUAAUGAAAGUGAACGGAGGUGGGAACCCUCGCGGGUGCACCAUCGACCGAUCCUGAUGUCUUCGGAUGGAUUUGAGUAAGAGCAUAGCUGUUGGGACCCGAAAGAUGGUGAACUAUGCCUGAAUAGGGUGAAGCCAGAGGAAACUCUGGUGGAGGCUCGCAGCGGUUCUGACGUGCAAAUCGAUCGUCAAAUUUGGGUAUAGGGGCGAAAGACUAAUCGAACCAUCGACUACUAGGUGGUUAAGAGGUGGCUGAAAGUGCCCACCUAGUCCCCCCGUCCGAGGACGGGGGGGCGACAUCGCCAAAUUGCGGGGACUCCCUUAGAGCCUCUACUACCGCGGCCGGCCGAAAGGCGCGGUGCAGCACCGGGUUAAUUGCCUAGGGUACGGUAAAAAGGUAGAGGAUUGGGAAAUCCGCAGCCAAGCGCCUAAGUCCCGCGGGAUACGGCGAAGGUUCAGAGACUAGAUGGCGGUGGGUCCGGCCCGAGGGCCGGGCCUAAGGUAUAGUCCACCCCCCGCGGAGAC